ACGGCCGCGGGAAUUAGAUUCAGUCCUAACACAUGCAAGUCGAGCGGUAACAGGUUAAGCUGACGAGUGGAGAACGGGUGAGUAAUGCAUUGGAACGUGCCCGGUCGUGGGGGAUAACGCAGCGAAAGCUGCGCUAAUACCGCAUACGAUCUGAGGAUGAAAGCGGGGGACCGUAAGGCCUCGCGCGAUCGGAGCGGCCGAUGUCAGAUUAGGUAGUUGGUGGGGUAAAGGCUCACCAAGCCAACGAUCUGUAGCUGGUCUGAGAGGACGACCAGCCACACUGGGACUGGGACACGGCCCAGACUCCUACGGGAGGCAGCAGUGGGGAAUUUUGGACAAUGGGCGAAAGCCUGAUCCAGCAAAGGCGCGUGCAGGAAGAAGUCCUUCGGGUUGUAACCUGUAUGGCUUCGUAGCGAAAAGAUCCCCUUUAAUACAGGGGGUUCA
rnacentral:rRNA from 1 species